GUGGACGCCAGUCUGCAUGGAGCCGACCUUGAAAUACCACCCUUUAAUGUUUGAUGUUCUAACGUUGACCCGUGAUCCGGGUUGCGGACAGUGUCUGGUGGGUAGUUUGACUGGGGCGGUCUCCUCCUAAAGAGUAACGGAGGAGCACGAAGGUUGGCUAAUCCUGGUCGGACAUCAGGAGGUUAGUGCAAUGGCAUAAGCCAGCUUGACUGCGAGCGUGACGGCGCGAGCAGGUGCGAAAGCAGGUCAUAGUGAUCCGGUGGUUCUGAAUGGAAGGGCCAUCGCUCAACGGAUAAAAGGUACUCCGGGGAUAACAGGCUGAUACCGCCCAAGAGUUCAUAUCGACGGCGGUGUUUGGCACCUCGAUGUCGGCUCAUCACAUCCUGGGGCUGAAGUAGGUCCCAAGGGUAUGGCUGUUCGCCAUUUAAAGUGGUACGCGAGCUGGGUUUAGAACGUCGUGAGACAGUUCGGUCCCUAUCUGCCGUGGGCGCUGGAGAACUGAGGGGGGCUGCUCCUAGUACGAGAGGACCGGAGUGGACGCAUCACUGGUGUUCGGGUUGUCAUGCCAAUGGCACUGCCCGGUAGCUAAAUGCGGAAGAGAUAAGUGCUGAAAGCAUCUAAGCACGAAACUUGCC
rnacentral:rRNA from 1 species